CUGAUAUCUAUUUUACCGUACAUUGUGGAAUGAAUCAAUGAUGGCAUCUGCGAGAUAUUCACACUUAGCUAACGACAAUCCAGCCAAAGAUAUCCGUCCAUCCUUCGUCAUGUAUACAUGCCACUUGUCCGUCAUAUUAUCACUCUGAACUUUGCUCAAGCCUGUGAAUGAGAACAUGCCAAUCUGCUUGAGUAUAAAGGACCAAUCUUUCCCACUUUUAUCUUUUGCACAGAGACUAUCAUAGAGCUUCUGUCUAACAUUCUUAAUUCUUCCAGCCAUCAUUUCCAUUUCUGCUUUCCACUCGUUAAAUAGUGCUGGAUCUCCAACAAUGUUAG
rnacentral:misc_RNA from 1 species